rnacentral:rRNA from 1 species
AGUGAACGCUGGCGGUAGGCCUAACACAUGCAAGUCGAACGGCAGCACAGUAAGAGCUUGCUCUUACGGGUGGCGAGUGGCGGACGGGUGAGGAAUACAUCGGAAUCUACUUUUUCGGGGGGGAUAACGUAGGGAAACUUACGCUAAUACCGCAUACGACCUACGGGUGAAAGCAGGGGAUCUUCGGACCUUGCGCGAUUGAAUGAGCCGAUGUCGGAUUAGCUAGUUGGCGGGGUAAAGGCCCACCAAGGCGACGAUCCGUAGCUGGUCUGAGAGGAUGAUCGGCCACACUGGAACUGAGACACGGUCCAGACUCCUACGGGAGGCAGCAGUGGGGAAUAUUGGACAAUGGGCGCAAGCCUGAUCCAGCCAUACCGCGUGGGUGAAGAAGGCCUUCGGGUUGUAAAGCCCUUUUGUUGGGAAAGAAAGGCAGCAGGUUAAUACCCCGCUGUUCUGACGGUACCCAAAGAAUAAGCACCGGCUAACUUCGUG